UGAAUUUCGGGGUCAGUGCUUUGGUCGUGCCUCAGGUAUGUACUGUCGACUCAGCUGACAGCUUCCUGAUGAACUGUAAUGCCAUUAAUUUUGGUGUUGCAGGGAAUCUGGACUGUUACUUUGAAAAAAUUAGAGUGUUUAAAGCAGGCUAACGCUUGAAUACAUUAGCAUGGAAUAAUGAAAUAGGACGUUCGAUCCUAUUUUGUUGGUUUCUAGGAUUGACGUAAUGAUUAAUAGGGAUAGUUGGGGGCAUUAGUAUUCAAUUGUCAGAGGUGAAAUUCUUGGAUUUAUUGAAGACUAACUACUGCGAAAGCAUUUGCCAAGGAUGUUUUCAUUAAUCAAGAACGAAAGUUAGGGGAUCGAAGACGAUCAGAUACC
rnacentral:rRNA from 1 species